CUGCGGCAUGCUUAACACAUGCAGUCGAACGGUAACGCGAAGAGCUUGCUCUUUGGCGUCGAGUGGCGGACGGGUGAGUAACGCGUGGGAAUCUACUCAGUAGUGGGGGAUAGCCAGGAGAAAUUCUGGUUAAUACCGCAUACGAUCUACGGAUGAAAGGUGGCCUCUACAUGUAAGCUAUCGCUAUUGAAUGAGCCCGCGUUAGAUUAGCUAGUUGGUAGGGUAAAGGCCUACCAAGGCGACGAUCUAUAGCUGGUCUGAGAGGACGACCAGCCACAUCGGGACUGAGACACGGCCCGGACUCCUACGGGAGGCAGCAGUGGGGAAUAUUGGACAAUGGGCGCAAGCCUGAUCCAGCAAUGCCGCGUGUGUGAAGAAGGCCUGAGGGUUGUAAAGCACUUUCAAUUGUGAAGAAGAGAUUAAGAUUAAUACUCUUGAUCUUUGACGUUAACUUUAGAAGAAGCACCGGCUAACUCUGUGCCAGCAGCCGCGGUAAUACAGAGGGUGCGAGCGUUAAUCGGAAUUACUGGGCGUAAAGCGCGCGUAGGCGGUUAAAUAAGUCAGAUGUGAAAUCCCCGGGCUCAACCUGGGAACUGCAUCUGAUACUGUUUAACUAGAGUUUGGGAGAGGGAAGUAGAAUUUCAGGUGUAGCGGUGAAAUGCAUAGAGAUCUGAAGGAAUACCAGUGGCGAAGGC
rnacentral:rRNA from 1 species